UCAUUUUGAAACACAGGUUCCCGUCCGAACACUGAUGUUAAGUAGCGCCGAGCCUGGUCAAUAUCUAGAUGGGUGACAGCUUGGGAAUGCCGGUUACUGUAAG